UCGGGAAUUUUGGGCAAUGGGCGAAAGCCUGACCCAGCAACGCCGCGUGAAGGAUGAAGUAUUUCGGUAUGUAAACUUCGAAAGAAUAGGAAGAAUAAAUGACGGUACUAUUUAUAAGGUCCGGCUAACUACGUGCCAGCAGCCGCGGUAAUACGUAGGGACCAAGCGUUGUUCGGAUUUACUGGGCGUAAAGGGCGCGUAGGCGGCAAUUCAAGUCAUCUGUGAAAUCUCCGGGCUUAACUCGGAACGGUCAGAUGAUACUGCUUUGCUAGAGUGCAGAAGGGGCAAUCGGAAUUCUUGGUGUAGCGGUGAAAUGCGUAGAUAUCAAGAGGAACACCUGAGGUGAAGACGGGUUGCUGGGCUGACACUGACGCUGAGGCGCGAAAGCCAGGGGAGCAAACAGGAUUAGAUACCCGUGUAGUCCCUGAGCGGGCUGGCAAGGCGCAU
rnacentral:rRNA from 1 species